rnacentral:rRNA from 1 species
CGGGGUUACGUAUUACGCAUCAGGUAGUAACAGAGGGUUCGACUCUGGCCUGUGAUUGAACGCUGGCGGGAUGCUUGCACAUGCAAGUCGAACGGCAGCACGGACUUCGGUCUGGUGGCGAGUGGCGAACGGGUGAGUAAUGUAUCGGAACGUGCCUAGUAGCGGGGGAUAACUACGCGAAAGCGUAGCUAAUACCGCAUACGACGCCCUUCGGGGGAAAGCGGGGACUCCGGGCCUCGCACUAUUAGAGCGGCCGAUAUCGGAUUAGCUAGUUGGUGGGGUAACGGCUCACCGGGCGACGAUCCGUAGCUGGUUUGAGAGGACGACCACACUGGACCGGAGACACGGCCCAGACUCCUACGGGAGGCAGCAGUGGGGAAUUUUGGACAAUGGGGGAAACCCUGAUCCAGCCAUCCCGCGUGCGAUGAAGGCCUUCGGGUUGUAAAGCACUUUGGCAGGAAAGAAAACGGCACGGGAUAAUGAGCCCGUGCAACUGACGGUACCUGCAGAAUAAGCACCGGCUAACUACGUGCCAGCAGCCGCGGUAAUACGUAGGGUGCAAGCGUUAAUCGGAAUUACUGGGCGUAAAGCGUGCGCAGGCGGUUCGGAAAGGUACAUGAAAUCCCAGAGCUUAACUUUGGAACUGCAUUUUUAACCGAGCUAGAGUGUGUCAGAGGAAAAUUCGCGUGUAGCAGUGAAAUGCGUAGAUAUGCGGAGGAACACCGAUGGCGAAGGCAGCCUCCUGGGAUAACACUGACGCUCAUGCACGAAAGCGUGGGGAGCAAAACAGGAUUAGAUACCCUGGUAGUCCACGCCCUAAACGAUGUCAACCAGCUGUUGGGGCCUUCUCGGGCCUGGUAGCGCAGCUAACGCGUGAAGUUGACCGCCUGGGGAGUACGGUCGCAAGAUUAAAACUCAAAGGAAUUGACGGGGACCCGCACAAGCGGUGGAUGAUGUGGAUUACCUGAUGCAACGCGAAAACCUUACCUACCCUUGACAUGUCUGGAAUCCCGAAGAGAUUUGGGGGAGUGCUCGCAAGAGAACCGGAACACAGGUGCUGCAUGGCUGUCGUCAGCUCGUGUCGUGAGAUGUUGGGUUAAGUCCCGCAACGAGCGCAACCCUUGUCAUUAGUUGCUACGAAAGGGCACUCUAAUGAGACUGCCGGUGACAAACCGGAGGAAGGUGGGGAUGACGUCAAGUCCUCAUGGCCCUUAUGGGUAGGGAUUCACACGUCAUACAAUGGUCGGGACAGAGGGUCGCCAACCCGCGAGGGGGAGCCAAAUCCUGGUGAAACCCGAUCGUAGUCCGGAUCGCAGUCUGCAACUCGACUGCGUGAAGUCGGAAUCGCUAGUAAUCGCGGAUCAGCAUACCGUGGUGAAUACGUUCCCGGUCUUGCACACACCGCCCGUCACACCACAUGGGAGUGGGUUUUACCAGAAGUAGCAAAUAACCGUAAGGAGGGCGAUUACCACGGUAGGAUUCAUGACUGGGGUGAAGUCGUAACAAGGCAG